rnacentral:rRNA from 1 species
UAUGAGAGUUUGAUCCUGGCUCAGGACGAACGCUGGCGGCGUGCCUAAUACAUGCAAGUCGAACGCUUCUUUUCCCACCGGAGCUUGCUCCACCGGGAAAAGAGGAGUGGCGAACGGGUGAGUAACACGUGGGUAACCUGCCCAUCAGAAGGGGAUAACACUUGGAAACAGGUGCUAAUACCGUAUAACAAUCGAAACCGCAUGGUUUCGUUUUGAAAGGCGCUUUACGGUGCCGCUGAUGGAUGGACCCGCGGUGCAUUAGCUAGUUGGUGAGGUAACGGCUCACCAAGGCCACGAUGCAUAGCCGACCUGAGAGGGUGAUCGGCCACAUUGGGACUGAGACACGGCCCAAACUCCUACGGGAGGCAGCAGUAGGGAAUCUUCGGCAAUGGACGAAAGUCUGACCGAGCAACGCCGCGUGAGUGAAGAAGGUUUUCGGAUCGUAAAACUCUGUUGUUAGAGAAGAACAAGGGUGAGAGUAACUGUUCACCCCUUGACGGUAUCUAACCAGAAAGCCACGGCUAACUACGUGCCAGCAGCCGCGGUAAUACGUAGGUGGCAAGCGUUGUCCGGAUUUAUUGGGCGUAAAGCGAGCGCAGGCGGUUUCUUAAGUCUGAUGUGAAAGCCCCCGGCUCAACCGGGGAGGGUCAUUGGAAACUGGGAGACUUGAGUGCAGAAGAGGAGAGUGGAAUUCCAUGUGUAGCGGUGAAAUGCGUAGAUAUAUGGAGGAACACCAGUGGCGAAGGCGGCUCUCUGGUCUGUAACUGACGCUGAGGCUCGAAAGCGUGGGGAGCAAACAGGAUUAGAUACCCUGGUAGUCCACGCCGUAAACGAUGAGUGCUAAGUGUUGGAGGGUUUCCGCCCUUCAGUGCUGCAGCUAACGCAUUAAGCACUCCGCCUGGGGAGUACGACCGCAAGGUUGAAACUCAAAGGAAUUGACGGGGGCCCGCACAAGCGGUGGAGCAUGUGGUUUAAUUCGAAGCAACGCGAAGAACCUUACCAGGUCUUGACAUCCUUUGACCACUCUAGAGAUAGAGCUUCCCCUUCGGGGGCAAAGUGACAGGUGGUGCAUGGUUGUCGUCAGCUCGUGUCGUGAGAUGUUGGGUUAAGUCCCGCAACGAGCGCAACCCUUAUUGUUAGUUGCCAUCAUUUAGUUGGGCACUCUAGCAAGACUGCCGGUGACAAACCGGAGGAAGGUGGGGAUGACGUCAAAUCAUCAUGCCCCUUAUGACCUGGGCUACACACGUGCUACAAUGGGAAGUACAACGAGUCGCGAAGUCGCGAGGCUAAGCUAAUCUCUUAAAGCUUCUCUCAGUUCGGAUUGUAGGCUGCAACUCGCCUACAUGAAGCCGGAAUCGCUAGUAAUCGCGGAUCAGCACGCCGCGGUGAAUACGUUCCCGGGCCUUGUACACACCGCCCGUCACACCACGAGAGUUUGUAACACCCGAAGUCGGUGAGGUAACCUUUUUGGAGCCAGCCGCCUAAGGUGGGAUAGAUGAUUGGGGUGAAGUCGUAACAAGGUAGCCGUAUCGGAAGGUGCGGCUGGAUCACCUCCUUUCUAAGGAA